GGGGGUGUAGCUCAGCUGGGAGAGCACCUGCCUUGCAAGCAGGGGGUCAGCGGUUCGAGUCCGCUCAUCUCCACCA
rnacentral:tRNA from 4 species